rnacentral:rRNA from 1 species
AACGAACGCUGGCGGCAGGCUUAACACAUGCAAGUCGAGCGCCCCGCAAGGGGAGCGGCAGACGGGUGAGUAACGCGUGGGAAUCUACCCAUCUCUACGGAACAACUCCGGGAAACUGGAGCUAAUACCGUAUACGUCCUUCGGGAGAAAGAUUUAUCGGAGAUGGAUGGGCCCGCGUUGGAUUAGCUAGUUGGUGGGGUAAUGGCCUACCAAGGCGACGAUCCAUAGCUGGUCUGAGAGGAUGAUCAGCCACACUGGGACUGAGACACGGCCCAGACUCCUACGGGAGGCAGCAGUGGGGAAUAUUGGAUAAUGGGCGAAAGCCUGAUCCAGCCAUGCCGCGUGAGUGAUGAAGGCCCUAGGGUUGUAAAGCUCUUUCAACGGUGAAGAUAAUGACGGUAACCGUAGAAGAAGCCCCGGCUAACUUCAUGCCAGCAGCCGCCGUAAUAC